rnacentral:tRNA from 1 species
GGAUCCUUAGCUCAGGGGUAGAGCGUCGCCGCUUGGUGAAGGUCGCAGGUUCAAGUCCUGCAGGACUCA